UGCGUACUGGGCCGACGUCGCAUGCUCCCGGCCGCCAUGGCGGCCGCGGGAAUUCGCAUAUAUAAUACAUGUACAGAAUAAGGACCGGCUAACUCCGUGCCAGCAGCCGCGGUAAUACGGAGGGUCCAAGCGUUAAUCGGAAUUACUGGGCGUAAAGCGCGCGUAGGCGGUUUGACAAGUUGGGUGUGAAAUCCCCGGGCUUAACCUGGGAACUGCAUUCAAAACUUUUAAACUGGAGUACGGGAGAGGAGAGUAGAAUUCAUGGUGUAGCGGUGAAAUGCGUAGAUAUCAUGAGGAAUACCAAUGGCGAAGGCAACUCUCUGGACCGUAACUGACGCUGAGGUGCGAAAGCGUGGGUAGCAAACAGGAUUAGAUACCCUGGUAGUCCACGCCGUAAACGAUGACAACUAGCCGUUGGACUUUCGGGUUCAGUGGCACAGCUAACGCAU
rnacentral:rRNA from 1 species